AACAGGAAUCGAGCAGCAGGAGGACAAAAGCUAUUCUUACAUAUUUCCCAGCUCAGCUAAACCCAGGACUGACUGGAAGGCCACCAGGAAAGCCUGGACUCUGGAGACCUCCAGCCCGAUCCGGAGACUUCUGGACUCUUAUCCACUGGGAACAGAAACACCGAGUCACACUUGGAGCCAGGCUCGGAAAGUGUCAAGAAUAGCGUCUGGCACAGUAUUUCUGUACUACCGCUUCCUGCCCAUGCUGAAACAAGGAAGGAUAAGUCCAUGCAGCCUGCUUCAUGGGUUUCUUCUACUUCACAAGGAGCAUGCUGUGAAGGCUUUUUUGAGUCCCAGACAAAUGCUUUGAUAUCUUCUGAUAAACAGAUACUUCAAAGGAAAGGACAAAAUCUUCCAAACUGCCUGCCAGUCCUGCUUGCUGCAUUCAGCUCCCAGUUUCUGUGUCACAGAAACCAUCUCCCAAGACUUCAGCUACUUAACUCAGAAGCUAAGAGUGUCUACCUGAUGUGAAGCAAGAAUGAAAUGGCACUAUUUACUCUUGUCCAUCUCAAAAUUAAUCUUUUCUUAAACAACAUCAAGGAGAAUGAGAUGCUUUAGCUUUCUUCAGUUUGAAAGAUGUUGUUGGGCUGCAGAGUAAGAGUAUUAUCUAAGUCUGACACAAGUCUGUAGAACUCCCAGAGCUGGGAUGUGAUGGGUAAGAGAUUGUCUAAUAACAUAGUAGGCUCAGAGGCACCUGAAACGAAGCCAAGAGGAGCAUCUGUGCUAGAAAUUCCACCUCUUGAUCACGGUUCUCUUUGUUCUACCUCUUACAGAAUCUGAGCUUUCAAUUUUGGUUUUCACUGAAAGGCUUUCCUGCUUAUUCUAAGAUGCUGCAUAUGGUAUAAGGGGAAAUAGACAGUCUUUGGAUAUUUCUCAGCUGAACACCUAUGAUACAAAAUUGCAGAGAAUGAAAUUCAAUAGCUGAUGUUGUCCUACGUACUCAUUUCUACACCUGUCAGAACUAUAGCUAAGAAAGUAAUAGUAGUUUACAGUUACAUACAUGUAAUGUUACCCUCUUGCUUCUGUCUGUCCAUAUCAAUCGGAGCCCAUCAACUUAAUAUGUUAGCCUCAGGUGCUAAGGUGUUUUAGUGAACAUGUUCCUCAAGGAUGAAUCUCUUCAAAAGUCCUGCUUGUGAAGUUAGUCUGAAUGCAUCCUUGAAGCAAAUCCAGACGUUCAACAGGUCAGCCCUAUGUUGCAUUCCGCCUUUCCUUCAUCAAAUCGUUUUUUAUCUGCCUUUUAGAAUGCAGGUCAUGAUGAGUCCAAGACUAUUCACCUUCCAGGGAAAAAUUAAACAAGUACCAAAAUCUCCACAAAGCUUACCUGGUUUUAGCUAAAAUAGGGCCUGUAAAGAGACCAGUGAGACCCAAUGGGGACUGGCCUAAUGCCACCAGGAAAGGCAAUGUGGCUGAGCACAGAACGGUAUUUUUCUUGAGGGAAGGUAAAUAGUAGCAGAUCUGCUGGUAUCUUCACUCUCCAUGUUACAGUCUCAGUAAUUUGAGGGAUCAUGAUCAAGAAAGACAACUCUUAGCAUCUCCAUGGGUGCAGACAAUGGUGCACAUGUGAAAGGGAGAACAGCCCUGAAAAGAUCAUUUGGCUCUCAGGCAGCUCACAAACAUACAUUUCAUUCUUUUGCUGAUCCCUAUCCAGAACGCUUCAACCAUACUUUUUUUUCUGAGCAGGAAGUUAUUGCUUGUAUUAGCAGUUCAUAACCUGCCCCAUCACUUUCUUUGUUUUACAGGGAGACUGAUGUGGCCUUGUCCACGUAACUCUCAUCUGGAGCUCUGAGGAGUGAGCACUGAGUUUAGUGGAGCUAUUAAUUUAUUUCAUGAUUGUGAGGAGAAGGGAAAAUGGCAUGCAAUAACUUCUUUUAAAUUCACUGACCUCAUUUCUUUUCUGUUUCUUCUCUGAAUAGUUAUCUUCCACGCAAAAUGAAAAUUAAAAUAACCACAAACCCUCAGCUCCUAGAAUUACACAGUAAAGAUAGGAGAAUGUAUUCCGAGCAACAUCAGUUUAUAAUUAAAACAUUUUUCUUUUACAAAAAGUGCCUAGGCUAUUCUUGCAGGAUAUAUUAUUUUUCGUAAGAUGCAUUUUAUGCAGAUUUCCUUCUUGUUGGAGAACCAAAUAUUUAAACGCAUUAAGACUCAGCAAAUCAUCUUCUUUUACUACCAUUUUUAUCUGAUGCAUUUGGGACUACACAGACUGCAGUGUUCUUUCAAUUAGUGGUUAAGAUCAUCACUACAUGCAAAUGUUCCUCAUAAAUAGCCACAGGCUCUGCUUCUGCAGAGUUCUAAGCAACUUCAGCUCUUACCAGUAUAAAAUGCGAGUCUGGCAGUCAUCCCACCUGUCAGAAUCAGAAGGACAAAAAGGACAGAAUUUCUUUUUCCUGCAACUGAGAUGUUCUUGAAGAUACAAGGAAGUUCUUAUCACAUUCAUAAUUUGAGCCAUAUCCAUUUGAAACCACUACCCACCAAUUUUUCUUUUUUCCAACUUCCAAUGACUGGGCAAUCAAAAUCACUAGACCAUUCACCAUAUUAGCGGUGAUGGAACACUUCAUUGGGAAUUUUAUGUUAUCUGGCACUUUUCCUGGCAUAGCAGGACGUUACUCUUCUAUUUCCCCUCAGCUUUCACAAGGGCAACAAGCUUACUUCACAAACCUCCUCAGCCCAACCAAAACCAGAGCCUCUAGGUGAUGUAAUUCAACACAGUCUCAUCAAAGCCAUCCCGAGAAGACAUGGGCAAUGGCCUGGAGGUAGUUCAAAGCCUCCCAAGCACUUUCUGCUCUCCUGAACCAUUUUAUUCUGUCCACCUCAGCUCUUGCCCUGUCUCAACUUGUGCCUAUUGUCUCCUCAGCUUCACAACUCACAAGAUAUGAAAAACAUUUUGCCAUGUUCUCUUCCUUUCUAUAGCCAGCAUUUCCUAAUAGUCUGAGUGCCUCAAAUUCUCAACAGCUGGCCUUUAAGACAGUUGCGGCUGUGGGUGCAGGGCUGGGUAUAUUGGCUAUGGUCACGAUUUAUUUUUGGGAUGCAGGAGUAUGCCCACAUUUUAGCAGCUGUGAAUGCUGGCAUGUGCUUGGGACAGAAAAGGUUUACAUUGUCUGGAUUCCAAGGGACUGAUUUAGAGCAACUCAUUUUGAGGCAGUUGGCCAGAUAAAAGCCAUGCUGGCUCCUUCCCUGCCAUUUAAAAAUGAUAUGGUCACAACUUCAUCUUCCAGGCAGUUGCCCUCAAGAAAACCAGCAAUUGCUCUGGGGCCUCUUUCUGUCUUGUGCCAAUCCCUAGUGGGCAAAGGACAAGGGGCGGACGCUGUGGCUAUUUACUUCUUUCUGAGAUGGAGGUCUCCCCCAGCAGUGCCAGGGCUGGCAGGCUUCCCUGCAGGGACAUGGGAAUCAGAGCUGUACAGCUCAGCAGCUGAGCCUGUUGAUGGAGGCAUGAUUUGUUGUUCGUUUUCCUUACGGUCAGCAUCCCCAGACCAUGGUGAGACAGCAGAUGAUUAAUUUUUACACUUUUUGCAAUGGUGACUAGCCCAUGGAGCAUUCUGCCCCAAACCAAAGAAAGAUAUGAUGCAAUGAUUCAGGGAACAAUUAAAACUGAUUAUCUUUUUUAGCAACUUUACUAAUGACAGCAACAGCAGGAGAGUUUGCCCUCUCUGAGCAUGCAUUUCUCAGUGACAUAAUACAUUUCAAGCUUUAAAGCACCCUCGUGGUUGUGAUAAAUGAAACAAUUCAAUAAAUUAAACAUUGCUCAAAGA